UACGUAGGGGGCAAGCGUUGUCCGGAUUCAUUGGGCGUAAAGAGCUCGUAGGCGGCUUGGCAAGUCGGGUGUGAAAACUCCAGGCUCAACCUGGAGACGCCACCCGAUACUGCCAUGGCUAGAGUCCGGUAGGGGACCACGGAAUUCCUGGUGUAGCGGUGAAAUGCGCAGAUAUCAGGAGGAACACCGGUGGCGAAGGCGGUGGUCUGGGCCGGUACUGACGCUGAGGAGCGAAAGCGUGGGGAGCGAACAGG
rnacentral:rRNA from 1 species